GAUGAACGCUGGCGGCGUGCCUAAUACAUGCAAGUCGAGCGAACAGAUGAGGAGCUUGCUCCUCUGACGUUAGCGGCGGACGGGUGAGUAACGCGUGGAUAACCUACCUAUAAGACUGGGAUAACUUCGGGAAACCGGAGCUAAUACCGGAUAAUAUAUUGAACCGCAUGGUUCAAUAGUGAAAGACGGUUUUGCUGUCACUUAUAGAUGGAUCCGCGCCGCAUUAGCUAGUUGGUAAGGUAACGGCUUACCCAGGCAACGAUGCGUAGCCGACCUGAGAGGGUGAUCGGCCACACUGGAACUGAGACACGGUCCAGACUCCUACGGGAGGCAGCAGUAGGGAAUCUUCCGCAAUGGGCGAAAGCCUGACGGAGCAACGCCGCGUGAGUGAUGAAGGUCUUCGGAUCGUAAAACUCUGUUAUUAGGGAAGAACAAAUGUGUAAGUAACUAUGCACGUCUUGACGGUACCUAAUCAGAAAGCCACGGCUAACUACGUG
rnacentral:rRNA from 1 species